AGCAGCCGCGGUAAUUCCAGCUCCAAUAGCGUAUAUUAAAGUUGUUGCAGUUAAAAAGCUCGUAGUUGAAUUUCGGGGUCAGUAGGUCGGUCGUGCCACUGGUAUGAACUGGUUUUACUGAUUCCUCCCUCUUGAAGAACUGUAAUGCCAUUAAUUUGGUGUUGCAGGGAAUCAGGACUGUUACUUUGAAAAAAUUAGAGUGUUUAAAGCAGGCUUUAGCUUGAAUACAUUAGCAUGGAAUAAUGAAAUAGGACGUUUGAUCCUAUUUUGUUGGUUUCUAGGAUUGACGUAAUGAUUAAUAGGGAUAGUUGGGGGCAUUAGUAUUCAAUUGCCAGAGGUGAAAUUCUUGGAUUUAUUGAAGACUAACUACUGCGAAAGCAUUUGCCAAGGAUGCUUUCAUUAAUCAAGAACGAAAGUUAGGGGAUCGAAGACGAUCAGAUACCGUCGUAGUCUUAACCAUAAACUAUGCCGACUAGGGAUCGGAUGAUGUUAAUUUUUAAUGACUCAUUCGGCGCCUUAA
rnacentral:rRNA from 1 species